rnacentral:rRNA from 1 species
UACGUAGGGACCAAGCGUUGUUCGGAUUUACUGGGCGUAAAGGGCGCGUAGGCGGCGUGGUAAGUCACUUGUGAAAUCUCUGAGCUUAACUCAGAACGGCCAAGUGAUACUGCUGUGCUAGAGUGCAGAAGGGGCAAUCGGAAUUCUUGGUGUAGCGGUGAAAUGCGUAGAUAUCAAGAGGAAUACCUGAGGUGAAGACGGGUUGCUGGGCUGACACUGACGCUGAGGCGCGAAAGCCAGGGGAGCAAACGGG